UGUUGAUGUGUUGAUUUCAAGCUCCUCAACAUGACAUGCAUACCAGUAUGUGUACCUUUAAAUGUUAAAACGUUGUGACAAGUUGUAUAAAUGUCAUGAAAAACUAUGAGCGCAGAACUGAACAUCAAGAAUCGAGAAAAACAUGAUUUCUUUUUGAAUUGAAAAGCUCCUAAAGACAUGGGUUUAAAGCUGACAUUUUGUCGCCUUUGGAGAACUUUGUAUUUGGUUUUAUUGUGUGUUUCUGUGACACUAUGCUUCUGUAGAAGUGUGGGCUGGGUAGGAUGUGUGGACUAUGGCUGUAGCCAUACGGAGGGUGGACGAUGCGAAAACUUUGGAACGAGACCUGAUAAUGAUUGCGUCUGUGUUAUAGACCAUUGAUGAAGUAGAACAUAGGGAUUUUAGAUAAUUAAUUGCCUAAUUUGUGCCAAAGAUGAUAGUUUCAAGGUUCAAGCUUGCCAAAUCGCCGGAUCCGUUAUUCGAAAUAAACUGAGGAUUUCAAAAGGUUGUGUUCAGUAAAUGUUGAAGUGUGUUAUUGACAUAUUACGGGCAAGGUGGAAUAUGACUUCUGUGACGUAUUUAGGGGUGUGCCAUUUGAUAUUCAUACUUUUAUAUUCGAUGAAACGGGUAUCUUUUAUUAAACUGUUUACAUGCAUAAAUAUGUUUAUUUGCAUGAAUGCCUUUACAUGAUAUCAUCCCAGGGUAAAACUGUUACGAGAAGAUCUUUUCAUUAGGUCAGGUUGUCAGGUAUCUAGGAUAAUUGUAAUAAAAUUAACAUUACAUCUCUUA
rnacentral:lncRNA from 1 species